rfam:Musca domestica strain aabys unplaced genomic scaffold Scaffold1497, whole genome shotgun sequence.
CUUAAGGAUUUUCUUGAAUCCACUAUCAUUUCUACACAAGUCCUUU